rnacentral:lncRNA from 1 species
AAUUUCUGUUUAAUCUUAAUAGCCUUGGUUAUUCAUUACUGAGCGCAAAGGGAGUAGGAAGAAUUGGAUUGUAUUACUUGAGGCUAACCACAGACAUCUGAAGCCAAACAUUUAUGACUCCCAAUCAGUAAUCUCCAUUCUACCCCAUUUGCUUCUUCUCUUCUCCAUAAAGUUUAUGAUAAUGGAACUCUUCUGAGGCAUUCUGGGUACUGAGAGGUGAAAGGGAACCUGAUGAGAACAUGGAAGAGGCCCCAGCAGGCAAGAACCCAGGUUAAGACCCCUUCCCCCUCAUGAAUGGCACUAACUGCUAUGGAGGAAAAGAGCAAGAAGGAGGGGCUGAGAUUGGGAUGUGAACUUCACGAAGAUAUUGAGCUAAGAUCUGCAGGAGCUGCCCAGAGCUGGUUACUUCUGCACCUGUCAGCGCAUGCUCAGUGAGGAAAAGUGCUUAAGAGUUUCCUUUCCUCUGGACUGGACUCAGGAGAUGCGGGAUAGGGCGCUCAAUGGUUGAGCAUCUACCUUCUGCUCAGAUUCUCCCCAGGCCACGGAUGUUUCUUUAUAGAACCACAGACUCUGUUCUGGAAAUCUCCUCAUCAUUCAUCUCACUGGUACCUGAGCUUAAAUUCCCAAGUUCUCAACAUUUCCAGUCCCCUUGGGAACUAGCAAGAAGGAGAUGUCUCAGAAAAACAAAAACCUUUACUCAAGCUGCAGAAAGGUGGGCACGGGAAAUUUGGCAAGCAAAGUCACAAACUUUAGGACAACCAAAGACUUCCUGGAGAAAAAAUGUGAAAAAAGAUGUGACUUUCAUUUUUUGUGUUCCUAUUUUUCUGGGUACUCAGAUCUCAGAAGCAUGUCAAGUUUUGACAUGGAGAUAAUUGCAUGAAGCAGGUAGUAUCAUAUACUCCUUUCACUGCUUGGCUGGGAAUUAGUACAUCUGAAUGGGGUUUUUCACAUGUUUAGUGGGACUGAAAUGUUGGGGAACCACAGACUAUUUGCAUUUUAUAGCAAUAGUAGUUUUU